GGUUAAGCGACUAAGCGUACACGGUGGAUGCCCUGGCAGUCAGAGGCGAUGAAGGACGUGCUAAUCUGCGAAAAGCGUCGGUAAGGUGAUAUGAACCGUUACAGCCGGCGAUGUCCGAAUGGGGAAACCCAGUGCAAUUCGUUGCACUAUCGUUAACUGAAUACAUAGGUUAACGAGGCGAACCGGGGGAACUGAAACAUCUAAGUACCCCGAGGAAAAGAAAUCAACCGAGAUUCCCCCAGUAGCGGCGAGCGAACGGGGAGCAGCCCGGAGUCUGAAUCAGCUUGUGUGUUAGUGGAAGCGUCUGGAAAGUCGCAGGGUACAGGGUGAUACUCCCGUACACUAAAACACACAGGUUGUGAACUCGAAGAGUAGGGCGGGACACGUGGUAUCCUGUCUGAAUAUGGGGGGACCAUCCUCCAAGGCUAAAUACUCCUGACUGACCGAUAGUGAACCAGUACCGUGAGGGAAAGGCGAAAAGAACCCCGGCGAGGGGAGUGAAAAAGAACCUGAAACCGUGUACGUACAAGCAGUAGGAGCCCACUUGUUGGGUGACUGCGUACCUUUUGUAUAAUGGGUCAGCGACUUAUAUUCUGUAGCAAGGUUAACCGUAUAGGGGAGCCGCAGGGAAACCGAGUCUUAACUGGGCGUUAAGUUGCAGGGUAUAGACCCGAAACCCGGUGAUCUAGCCAUGGGCAGGUUGAAGGUUGGGUAACACUAACUGGAGGACCGAACCGACUAAUGUUGAAAAAUUAGCGGAUGACUUGUGGCUGGGGGUGAAAGGCCAAUCAAACCGGGAGAUAGCUGGUUCUCCCCGAAAGCUAUUUAGGUAGCGCCUCGUGAAUUCAUCUUCGGGGGUAGAGCACUGUUUCGGCUAGGGGGUCAUCCCGACUUACCAACCCGAUGCAAACUACGAAUACCGAAGAAUGUUAUCACGGGAGACACACGGCGGGUGCUAACGUCCGUCGUGAAGAGGGAAACAACCCAGACCGCCAGCUAAGGUCCCAAAGUCAUGGUUAAGUGGGAAACGAUGUGGGAAGGCCCAGACAGCCAGGAUGUUGGCUUAGAAGCAGCCAUCAUUUAAAGAAAGCGUAAUAGCUCACUGGUCGAGUCGGCCUGCGCGGAAGAUGUAACGGGGCUAAACCAUGCACCGAAGCUGCGGCAGCGACACUAUGUGUUGUUGGGUAGGGGAGCGUUCUGUAAGCCGUUGAAGGUGGCCUGUGAGGGUUGCUGGAGGUAUCAGAAGUGCGAAUGCUGACAUAAGUAACGAUAAUGCGGGUGAAAAACCCGCACGCCGGAAGACCAAGGGUUCCUGUCCAACGUUAAUCGGGGCAGGGUGAGUCGACCCCUAAGGCGAGGCCGAAAGGCGUAGUCGAUGGGAAACAGGUUAAUAUUCCUGUACUCGGUGUUACUGCGAAGGGGGGACGGAGAAGGCUAUGUUGGCCGGGCGACGGUUGUCCCGGUUUAAGCAUGUAGGCGGAUGUUCCAGGUAAAUCCGGAACGUCACUAACGCUGAGGUGUGAUGACGAGGCACUACGGUGCUGAAGUGACAAAUGCCCUGCUUCCAGGAAAAGCCUCUAAGCAUCAGGUAACAUCAAAUCGUACCCCAAACCGACACAGGUGGUCAGGUAGAGAAUACCAAGGCGCUUGAGAGAACUCGGGUGAAGGAACUAGGCAAAAUGGUGCCGUAACUUCGGGAGAAGGCACGCUGAUGGUAGGUGAAGCGACUUGCUCGUGGAGCUGAAAUCAGUCGAAGAUACCAGCUGGCUGCAACUGUUUAUUAAAAACACAGCACUGUGCAAACACGAAAGUGGACGUAUACGGUGUGACGCCUGCCCGGUGCCGGAAGGUUAAUUGAUGGGGUUAUCCGUAAGGAGAAGCUCUUGAUCGAAGCCCCGGUAAACGGCGGCCGUAACUAUAACGGUCCUAAGGUAGCGAAAUUCCUUGUCGGGUAAGUUCCGACCUGCACGAAUGGCGUAAUGAUGGCCAGGCUGUCUCCACCCGAGACUCAGUGAAAUUGAACUCGCUGUGAAGAUGCAGUGUACCCGCGGCAAGACGGAAAGACCCCGUGAACCUUUACUAUAGCUUGACACUGAACACUGGUCCUUGAUGUGUAGGAUAGGUGGGAGGCUUUGAAGUGUGGACGCCAGUCUGCAUGGAGCCAUCCUUGAAAUACCACCCUUUAAUGGCUGGUGUUCUAACGUGGGCCCCUAAUCGGGGUUGCGGACAGUGUCUGGUGGGUAGUUUGACUGGGGCGGUCUCCUCCUAAAGAGUAACGGAGGAGCACGAAGGUCAGCUAAUCCUGGUCGGACAUCAGGAGGUUAGUGCAAUGGCAUAAGCUGGCUUGACUGCGAGCGUGACGGCGCGAGCAGGUGCGAAAGCAGGUCAUAGUGAUCCGGUGGUUCUGAAUGGAAGGGCCAUCGCUCAACGGAUAAAAGGUACUCCGGGGAUAACAGGCUGAUACCGCCCAAGAGUUCAUAUCGACGGCGGUGUUUGGCACCUCGAUGUCGGCUCAUCACAUCCUGGGGCUGAAGUAGGUCCCAAGGGUAUGGCUGUUCGCCAUUUAAAGUGGUACGCGAGCUGGGUUUAGAACGUCGUGAGACAGUUCGGUCCCUAUCUGCCGUGGGCGCUGGAGAAUUGAGGGGGGCUGCUCCUAGUACGAGAGGACCGGAGUGGACGCAUCACUGGUGUUCGGGUUGUCAUGCCAAUGGCAUUGCCCGGUAGCUAAAUGCGGAAGAGAUAAGUGCUGAAAGCAUCUAAGCACGAAACUUGCCCCGAGAUGAGUUCUCCCUGACUCCUUGAGAGUCCUGAAGGAACGUUGAAGACGACGACGUUGAUAGGCCGGGUGUGUAAGCGCAGCGAUGCGUUGAGCUAACCGGUACUAAUGAACCGUGAGGCUUAACCUU
rnacentral:rRNA from 1 species